rnacentral:ncRNA from 1 species
AAAUUUUUCUAUGAUUAUAGAUUUUUUUCGUUUCUGGUUCAGAAAGCUUUUGAUUAAUUUGGGCUUUAAUGUAUUUCAAAGUAAAAUUACAUGUUAAUACGUAGUAUUAAUGGCGAGACUCCUGAGGGAGCAGUGCCAGUCGAAGACAGGGGCCCCAACACAGAAGCUGACAUAUAGUCAGCUUACAACAAUGUGCCGGUUGGGGUGGCUGAGACGGCACCCUAGGAAGGGACCCGUCAUCAAAAAUUCUAUUUAUAGAAUUUUACAGUAAUGUGCCAGACGGGCAAAGCGAAGCCAUUCAAUACGAAGUAUUGUAUAAAUAGAGAACAGCAG